rnacentral:piRNA from 1 species
UGCCCACCAACAUGCACAUCUGCAUGGAC